UACGGAGGGUGCGAGCGUUGUCCGGAAUCACUGGGCGUAAAGGGCGCGUAGGCGGCCUGAUAAGUAGGGGGUGAAAUCUUGCGGCUUAACCGCAAGGCUGCCUUCUAAACUGUCGGGCUAGAGCACAGUAGAGGCAGGUGGAAUUCCCGGUGUAGCGGUGAAAUGCGUAGAUAUCUGGAGGAACACCGGUGGCGAAGGCGGCGUUCUGGACUGCAACUGACACUGAAAAACGAAAGCCAGGGGAGCAAACGGG
rnacentral:rRNA from 1 species